AACCACUUCAAAGGACCGAUUUGGCAUUCUUGUCUUCUUUUUGUCAGGUCCUGGACAAUUGGUUCACACUUGGAGCGAAACUCUAAGCAGGUCAUCUUGAUACACUCUUGAGCAAGAACAACAAGUUCUUCAGCCAUCUUUUGUCCAUCCAGAGGCAAGGAUUCAUUCUUCUGUACAAUUUCUACAACCUCCUGCAAGAAACCACCUAGCUCUGUG
rnacentral:misc_RNA from 1 species